AGGGGUAUAGCCAAGCGGUAAGGCAUCGGGUUUUGAUCCCGUGUACCGCAGGUUCGAAUCCUGCUACCCCUGCCA
rnacentral:tRNA from 1 species